AAUGAACGUUGGCGGCGUGGAUUAGGCAUGCAAGUCGAGCGCGAUGAGUUUGGUAGCUUGCUAUUGAACUCGGAAAGCGGCGAAAGGGAGAGUAACGCGUAGUUACGUGCCCCAGGGUUCGGAAUAGCCACGGGAAACUGUGGGUAAUGCCGAAUAACAUCUCCGGAUCAAAGGUGUGAUUCCGCCCUGGGAGCGGACUGCGUCCUACUAGCUAGUUGGCGGGGUAAUGGCCCACCAAGGCAACAAUGGGUAGCGGGUGGGAGAGCAUGACCCGGCUCACUGGGACUGGGACACUGCCCAGAAACCUACGGGUGGCUGCAGUCGAGAAUCUUCGGCAAUGGGCGAAAGCCUGACCGAGCGACGCCGCGUGCGGGAUGAAGGCCCUCGGGUUGUAAACCGCUGUCGUAGGGGAGGAAGGCUCUGUGAAGAACAGGGUUUGACCUAUCCUAGGAGGAAGUACGGGCUAAGUUCGUGCCAGCAGCCGCCGUAAGAC
rnacentral:rRNA from 1 species